CCUUAGCCCGGAUAGGAACGGCAUCCUUUUGUGAUGAGGAACGAAGAGCAAAAGAUACAGUGGAUAGCCGGAUUAAGC
rnacentral:sRNA from 1 species